AAAUAUAUAACAAAUAUUAAACAAAACUUAAAGGACGCAGUAACCUUGACUGUGAUAAUGUAGCAUAAUCACUCGCCAUUUAAUUGAUGGAUAGUAUGAAUGGUUGAACGAAUAUUCCACUGUCUUAAGAAGAAACAACAAAAAAUUGAAAUAAUAGUUAAGAUGCUAUUUUAAACUGUAAGACGAAAAGACCCUAUAGAGCUUAACUAUAACCUCUUCAAAACAAAAGAAAAGAAGUUCCAAAAAGGAGAGGUUGGUAGUUUAGUUGGGGCGACUAUCUUCUAAAAUCAACGAAGACAAGCAAAGUUAAUAAAAAACUUAUUGUAUAACUAAUUUAUUUAACAAUUACAAAAGUAGGCUAUAAUGACCCGUUGAAAAAUCGUAGAAAUUUCAACGAUCAAUAAAUAAAAGCUACCUUAGGGAUAACAGGAUAAUUUCAUUUUAGAGAUCCUAUCGAAAAUGAAGUUUGUCACCUCUAUGUUGAAUUAAGAUAUCCUGGUAAUGCAGCAGUUACCAAA
rnacentral:rRNA from 1 species